rnacentral:rRNA from 1 species
GUGUCAGCAGCCGCGGUAAUACGUAGGUGGCAAGCGUUGUCCGGAUUUACUGGGCGUAAAGCGCGCGCAGGCGGCUCGCCACGUCUGGGGUGAAAUCUCCCGGCUCAACCGGGAGAGGUCUUCAGAUACGGGCGAGCUUGAGGGGAGCAGAGGAGAGUAGAAUUCCCGGUGUAGCGGUGAUAUGCGUAGAUAUCGGGAGGAAUACCAGUGGCGAAGGCGACUCUCUGGGCUCUCCCUGACGCUGAGGCGCGAAAGCGUGGGUAGCAAACCGGAUUAGAAACCCUCGUAGUCC